rnacentral:rRNA from 1 species
AUGUCUGAUGUAGUGAACAUCAGAUUUUACUACGGUCCUGGUACUGCCCAAACAACUGAGAUGGGAGCUGAUCUGAGUGAAUUUACUCACAUAGAUGUGCCAAUGAGCACACCUCAAACAUGGUCUGUCAGUCAGUUGAAAGAAUGGAUUGCGGCAAGUUUAGGUCUUGAUACUGAAACACACACCGUCGGUGUUCAUGCAUUGUGGACACGGUCAAGUACAAUAAUUUAUUUUUAUUUGAGGCCAAUAGAGCGAGACUCCGAUUGGGUGCGGUGGUUACAAGGUUGUGAACGAAGGGGAUGCAAUCCUAUUGCUUUAGUGCUUCCCUCGUGA